GCUCCUAGGAUAGCUCAGUCAGUAGAGCAGAAGACUCUUAAUCUUAGGGUUGUGAGUUUGAGCCCCACAUUGAGCA